AGUUCCACUUCAUUAAUUAAAAACGAAUUCCAGUGUCGCUAGGAUCUCCCAACACAGCGACUGCCGCGUCACAGAAGCACGCAAGAGGGGGUUCUGCCGCUCGUUCAGACCCCCCCUGGUGUUAAUGCAUGCGUUAAUUAACGUGACACCCACGUCCUUGUCUAAGGCAGUUCCGUUAAGGGUAGCUUUAAAAAAUGUGCUUACUAAAUUGUGUUGAAAUGUAUACAGAGUGAUUAAAAAGUGUGUGUGUGUGUAUAUAUAUGUGUGCCUUUCCCAGUUAUCUGGAGACUGGAGUAAUUGUUAGCGAUUUGGAAGGUCUGAGUAAGAACUUGUGAGAGUUCCUCAUAGUGGUGGAAACGAGACUCCCAUUGCAGAGCAGUUCAAUCCAUUCCUGCUUUUGCAGGAGCUCAUUACCCACACGCUGUGGUGUUCUCAAACUCGUAUUGAAGCCUGGGCAGUGGGUGAAGCUGUCUUGUUUCCACCCCUGCGCUGCCAGCUUAGUUCUUCAGGGGGUCAGGUUGGGUGCCAGCGUGUUCUCAGGGCUCAGGUUGGGUGCCAGCGUGUUCUGCAGGGGCUCAGGUUGGGUGCCAGCGUGUUCUGCAGGGGCUCAGGUUGGGUGCCAGCGUGUUCUGCAGGGGCUCAGGUUGGGUGCCAGCGUGUUCUGCAGGGGCUCAGGUUGGGUGCCAGCGUGUUCUGCAGGGGCUCAGGUUGGGUGCCAGCGUGUUCUGCAGGGGCUCAGGUUGGGUGCCAGCGUGUUCUCAGGGCUCAGGUUGGGUGCCAGCGUGUUCUGCAGGGGCUCAGGUUGGGUGCCAGCGUGUUCUGCAGGGGCUCAGGUUGGGUGCCAGCGUGUUCUGCAGGGGCUCAGGUUGGGUGCCAGCGUGUUCUGCAGGGGCUCAGGGUGGGUGCCAGCGUGUUUUGAAAGGAGUUCUCCUGACCCUGCAGUUGGAGACUGCCCCCCUUUGGUUCACAGGGACAUACAGCCUGUAAGCCGAUGCGUUUGCAUGGAUGGCUGGGUCCCGCAGUGACAGAGGACCCAGUCCCUGGAUCUGAGAGCCCCAGAUCGGGUGUCUUUGCUGGGGGUCCGGUUUCGGGCAGAGAGCCGUGUCACCAUUCAUUAACAAUGAGGGUCCAGAAACUGGCUCAGACUUGAGACCCAUUCCACGUAAUACUAGUAAUAAUAAUAAUAAUAAUAAUAAAUAAUAAUAAUAAUAAUAAUAAUAAUUGCAGUAGUAAUAUCCAGGGCUGCUCAGCUGUGCUGUAC